rnacentral:rRNA from 1 species
UACGUAGGGACCGAGCGUUGUCCGGAUUCAUUGGGCGUAAGGAGCUCGUAGGCGGCCACUCAAGUCGAAUGUGAAACCUCGAGGCUUAACCUCGAGCCUGCAUUCGAUACUGGGCGGCUAGAGUCUGGUAGGGGGAUCUGGAAUUCCUGGUGUAGCGGUGGAAUGCGCAGAUAUCAGGAGGAACACCGGUGGCGAAGGCGGCAUCCUGGACCAACACUGACGCUGAGGAGCGAAAGCCAGGGGAGCAAACGGG